CAGAUCGCCAAAAAUUAAUAACUAAUACAAAUAUAUUUAAUGAAGAAAUCCAUCAGCGAAUCAUCAUCCUCUGCAUGAUACACUUAAAUGACAUGCAGAGAAGCUAAUCAAAUAUUCUCUGAAACAUGCAUUUUUUCUUCUUCUCCCAGCAUGCACUGGGGCAGCCAGAAGCCCCGCUGCGACCACGGCGGCCCGCAGAAGCCUUUAUUGAGGCCCACGCCAGAUCCUCGAUCGGAAGUGGGUCCGGAACGCCCCACCUGACCCAGCCUUCCUGCCACGGCGCCUGCUGCCGGGUCUGCGGUUCCCGCCAGAGGGAUUCAAGGCCACUCAGGCCGCAGUGCUCACAAGGACGGGCUUCUGGAGCCCGGUCCAAGGAGCGGGGGCCGCCGUUCACUCAGCUGUAAGGCGCUGACGUGUCUGGUGAAAAUGUCCCGAGGCUCUAGAGAAGAGGAGGACUAGUCCGAGGAAGAGGGAGGCUGAGCGACAACUUUGACUCAAAGUAGAAUAAGUGGAAGCAGAGUCUACUUUCUGUUUGUGACAACGUCAUACUUGUAAGUUCUAUAUUUGUGAGGUCAAGCGAUUGGAACAGAAAAUGUAGACAAUCGUGUGUAGCGUUAGCGCGCUAGCUGCGAAGCUAGCUUUCGGAUUAGCUCUCAUAUAAAGUAUGAAGACUUUGAAUGCAGUUUUGGACACUUUUGUGCAGUGGACCAGAGAAGUCCAUCCAUUCUGGACCCUGUCGGCGGACCUCCAAGCUCCCCGGAUGACAGGAGGGCGCGUGCUCAUCCGGCGCCGCCUCGCCUCGUGUGAAGCCCGCCUUGGCAUGUGCCGUCCACUGAAGGUCGCGUGAGUACGUGCACGUGUCGUCCACUCUAAAGGGGAGGGGACAUCUUGUUUGACGCCAUGACGACCUCCAGCAGCGAUUCAGCAACAUGGAUAAAAAAUGAAAUCUGGAAAUGUAAAUGUGACAUUCUGCUGAAAUGUUUUAUUUUGAAUGUUAUUUACACGAAAGUUAAUCUGGUUUUUUUUUUAACUGUGUUGUAUUUAGCAAAAAAAAGAAAUCUUUUGAAGUUAGUUUGAUCUAAAAAAUACUUAUUGGAUUUAAAAAUUAACUUAACCUUUUGUUUUUCUCUGCUAAAUGGAGGCACCGUCAACAUUAUUUCUAAAUCAAAAUCAGUCCAAAAUCAAUAAUAAUUAAAACUUCAAACAAUAACUUCUAUCACCAUGUAAUCAUCAGUUAAUGAAGAUUACAUGGGUUGAGUGUUACACAUCCAUUCAUCUUUUCAUCCAUCCCACUGUCCAUCUAUGCUUUUUCCUAGUCUCCAUUUGUCCCUUCAUCCCACCUGCCCCCCCCCCCCUAUAAUGUGUCUACCUUUCCAUUCGACCAUCCCUCUAUCUAUGCAAUAAUGUCCUCCACCACUAAAUCCAUCCAUUUAUCCAUUCAACCCUCUGUCCAUCCUUUAAUGCAUGCCUCCAUACAUCCAACCUUCCAUCUGUAACCAUCACAAGCACCAGAAGUGAGUAAAAACAAAUGUUUUCCAAAGAGGCGAUCAGUUUAUGACGGAGGUUUGUUGGAGCCUCAUGAACUGGAAUGAACGGACGAUGGACGAUUGUCUGGAAUGAGUCGUCUUCAGCCGUGUUGGUUUUCAAACAAAUUAUCGGACCCACCGAACGUCGUUUAAGCCCCGCAGAGGAAGAGCCACGUACACGACACAUGCACACGCCGGAGACAUUCAGUCUUCAUUACGGGUCCGGUGACAGUGAUGUUAUUUAAUUAUUUUUUCGUUUUGCUUGAGACUAACUUAACUGUGGAGUUCUAAAACAGAACAAAUGCUGCUGCUGCUGCUGCUGGAAGAGACGAACAAUUACAGAUUUCAGGGGUCCAUCUGUCAGCUCCAGUCACUGAGCAGCUGCUCUGUGCUGCCAGAAAACCCUCCACUAAAAACAUGCUCAGAUGGCUAACAAAAUAUUAAUUGGCUCUUUUUUUUAAUCAAAUCAAUUCUGUUUCAUGUGAAAUCCACAGAACGUUUCUGUGCAGAAUAAACUACGUUUUUUUCUGCCUUCAGGCUGCAGCUGCACGUCUGUCUAUGCUUUAUCCAGAGGAACGUCCACUGGUUCCUGCAGAAAGUUCUACUAACGGCAGUUCUACUCCUGAAUGUUGCAGGAGGGGAGCGGCGCUCUAAUGUGGGAGGGGCAUCAGGGUGAGAAUCAGCAGAAUCUAAUUGGGUGUCUAUAGGAGUCUUCUUCAACUCGCUCAACAAAAGAAUGAAACAAAGGGCAGACUGGGGAAUAAUUUGGGUUUCAUUUUUAAAUCUGCACAACCAGGAAUUAGUGAAGUUACAGCGUAAAGAUGAAUUUAUGUGAAAAAAGUCAAGGCGUCUAGUCUGGUGUAGGGGUGUGCCAAAAUAUCGAUAUGGUGAUAUAUCGCGAUAUUUAGUCCCGCGAUCGAUUAUCGAUACGUCUUCAUCAAGUAUCGACCUUUUAUUUACGUUUUAAAACCCUCUAAAACGUUAUAUUAACCAUGCUUUGGUAAUUCCUUGCAAUUCCUUGGAGGGUCGAUAGGGGGCGCUCGUUGCGAGAUUGGUUGUUGCGGGCGGACGAAGAAGAACACACACUCAAACAAAGAUGGCGGAGCGGGAAAACAAUGAGAAGCGACGGCAGCAAGUUAAAAGACGCGCCGGCAGCAAUAGAGCUGCAUCACCCGGAGUUUUGUGAGAAAGCUGUGGCUGCUGCUGCCUGAAGCCGACACAGCCCGACGCGGAUACUUUUUUCCAGACGAAGCUAGCGCCGUCUUCUGAGAGACAGAGCAGCAGCAAUAACAAAGUACGGAAAACGGCCCCUGCAGCACGGUGGAGAACGAGGGAUUUGGGUUUUUAUUGAAUAGAGCCACGCUUUGACAUUCCUCCUGGAAAAUACUGAAAAAAGGAUCCCUGUACUGUACGUCCAGACCAGAGCUACGGCUGAGAUGGAAACGGAAGAAAGAGAGGCAUCCCUGCCCUUAGACCCCCCUUCUCCUCUAAGCAGAGGUAGACGAGCGGCGUCUUGAUGUUAAAUAUGUUUAUGUUCAUGUUUUUCUCUCCAGAAAAACAUGAACAUAAACAUAGAUCACAUGCAGCUUUUCCCCAAAGGUUUUGUUCACAAAGACGUUAACUUUUAGAUGCACUUCAAGUUUUUUAUGUAUUUUAUCCCUGGUAAUUUAUUUUGAAAGCAGUUUAUGUCUUGAAAAAAGGAAAGUUCCUAGCUACUUGAUUUUUAUUUUUCUGUGAGAAUUAUAUUUUUGUCUACACCACAUUUGCACUAAAUGGUGUUAUUUAUUUUUUAACAAAGACACUAUAAUUUGUUCACAGAAUUAAUAUCUGAUUUUCAGCUAUUAUUUUAAAUUAAGCAAUGGCCAUGGCUUUGUUUUUCAAAAGUUAAUACCAAUGUGUCUGGCAGCUACUUGACUUAUUCAUUUUUUUAUCCUGUUUACAGCAAUUUUGUACUAAAUAAUGACACUGCUGUUGAUGUUCACUAUUGUUGAAUUUUACAGAUAUUUCCAAAUGAAAAUUGUCAUUGUUUGUCAAAGACAGAGUAUUACUGAUUUCAGCAAUGUUACACAAAAGUCUGUUAUUCAUUACACCAAAUAGGACACAAGUUGUUUAUUAUCAUGGUGUUUAAAAAAUAAAUGGGGAAAUAUUUUCCAAAAAGCUGUUUUUAAAGUUCUUCUUUCUUAAAGUUUAAUAUAUCGUGAGUUGUUAGAGACGAGAUAUAUCGAUUAUCGCCAUAUCGUGAUAGUAUCGUUAUCGUGAGCAAUGUAUCGCAAAUCGUAUCGUAUCGUGAGGUACCCAGUGAUUCCCAGCCCUAGUCUGGUGGUGUUUCCUGUCUACGUAGUCCUUGGUGAUGAGGUCAGAUCUCAUGGUAGCUCUUUUGUCCUUUGGGGUUCUGGUUUUGUCCCGUUUCUGCCACGCUUCUUCUUUGGAUUUAAAGUUCUGUUUCAGUUGGUCUGUCUGGCCCCCCCAUUCUGGUGUGAUCUGUGCGGCAGCGGCUCAGGCGGUUAAGCAGGUCGUCCAAUGAUCGAAGAGUCUGCGAUUCGAUCCCCCCCAGUCAACUGUCGUUGUGUCCUCGGGCAAGACACUUCACCCUCCCUGCCUCCAGUGUGUCGCCACUGGUGUGUGAAUGUCCCGGUGAUGGUCAGAGGGGCCGUAGGCGCCACGCCUCUGUCAGUCUGCCCCGGGGCAGCUGAGGCUACAUCAGUAGUUACAUCACCAAGUAUUAAUCAAUUAUUGGCCACAUUGGAAGCGCUUUGAGCGUCUGGAAAAGCACAGAUAAAUCCCAUCCGUUGUUAUUAUUGUUGUUUCAGGUGAAAAUGAUCACCUGGUGUGUUUUCCAUUUAAGCAACUGAAUAAGAUCUGACUGGUCCUCCAGAGGACACCUGGUCAGAUUACGCACGAGUAC
rnacentral:lncRNA from 1 species